rnacentral:lncRNA from 1 species
CUCCCAGUCUCAACCUCAAGGCAUCGUGGUUUGUUUGUGUGAACUGCGCUUAAUGGCCCUGUCAGCAAGGAGGUGAUGAUCAGGACAGGAUUCACUUCAGAGAGAAGAGACAUUUGGGUGGUUUUCAAUUGUUUGCUGCCACAAAUAAUGCUACAGUGACUAUCCUUGGAUAUACAGAAUAGUUUCAGAGAAGUGAACUGCAAGAUUGAUAGGAACUUCCUGCUACACAACCCAAGGAGAUGCUGGAAAUAAAAACAACAAACAUCCUUUAAAAGGCACAACUGAAUCUGCAAUAGCUUGUGUUUUUAAAGAAACAUUUGGGGAGUUGAAGCUUUGGGCUUAUAUGAAAUUAGAGGUUGCAACUGAGACCCUUGAUAAAUCUAGGACCCUUGAAGGGCUACACCCACAGUGAAAGAACAAACUAGGGGAAAAACCAACACCUACUAGCGAAGGGAGACAAAAAGGAUGUGUCCAUCUUGACCUGGUCUUUGGGUAAGAGGGAAAAUAAUCUCCUGAGAAUUUGAAACCACAUGCCUACCCUCCAUGAGUCUGGCGUUCACAUUUGCAUCACCUGCAUGGCUGGGAAUCUCGAAGCUGAGAAAUUAAUAUAAAAAGCGACCCACUCUGAAAUGAUCUCUCAGAUGCCUGGAAGAAAUAAAUGUAAAUCCUCUCUGGA